rnacentral:lncRNA from 1 species
AUGGCCCCGCCGCUUCGGCUCGUUGCCGGGGCGACGCCGCGAGCGGGCGGGACCUACGGAGUAACACGCCUCUCCGUGGUCACGUGGGAGGUAGGCGGGUUGGCUAAAAACCUGAGCCGAAAGCUACACUGUGACAGCAGGAAUUUGUUAGGCGAGGACAUCUGCAGUCCAGGAUGCGGGCAGCCCAGAAACAGUGCUUGAGGGGCACAGUGAAUGGAGAAGCUACUUGAGGACUGAAGGGAGCACAUCUUUCUUCAAGGCUGCUGCUUCACUCAAGAAACACGCUUUUAAAGUCAAUUCCACAGCUAUAUAAACCAGCAAGGAGGCACUCGAUUUCAGCUUUUUGUUACAGAAGCUAGAUCGCAUUCAAAUUGCUGUAUUUUAGACAGAAAACUAUGUACAAUACUAGAUUGAAUCCAUCUGCUCUUUUAUCUGGAAAGGUUAAGGCACAGGUACAUUGUCUCAGACACUUGUAGAUGAAAAGCAGCAGCACAAAGAGAGGCUGCAAUAAUCUUCAGAGAGUUUUAAUUUGUUUGAGGGCCACAGGUGAUACAGUGAGCUAAUUGCUACCAUAUGGUUGUACUCUGCUUAAACAGCUGUUGUGUUUAUCAGGCAUAAGUCUACCCCCAAAAAGUAGCAUUUUGACAGUUUUCUGCAUUUACUCAGCUGAUGUACAAAGUUUUGCUUAAAAGGCUGUGUUCUGAGAGCAUAGCAUAACAAUUUAAGCAUACAGGUACAGCAACAAGCUUUAUACCAGUAUAUUGAUAGUGCAGAACCCCCACAGCUUGUCCUGGCAUUUUAGCACAUCUGGAGGUAGAGUCACAGUCAUCUGAUUUCUCUAAAGCCAAUACACAAUGGGGUAGCUUACAUCUUUAAAAAUCUCUGACUUUGAGAUCUUCUGUGAAUCUCUUUCCAGUCAUUUUGCUUGACCUUAAUCCCUCUCCCCACCUAUACCUCCACUUUUCUUCAAAUGUUAGGCAGCUUUAUCUUAAUUUUUAUUCUACUCCCAAGCUGACUUGAUAUGUUUGGGGGUACAGAUAAGAAGUUUCAGUUCUGUGUAUAGGUAUGGCGUUGCAUGUUUCUGAACCCAAAAUUUGGUUCAAAUUUUCUGGGCAGCAACUUGCCAUUUUCUUAGCUCAGUGCGUGGGCUAAUUAUCUAACUGAUGUUGCUCACCUGACUCAUUUCUGUAAUCUAAACCACCUUGUAGAAUUGCCACAAAAAUUUAAAAAGAGCCUGGUGAGGCAGACAGCAAAUACACUAGAAGUUGAUGUAAGCUUGAUGUAGAUGAAUUCAUUUAGUCACUUGAUAAAUUCCAGCUUCGAGUGGCUUGAGCUUUUAAAAUGCUGAUCAAUCCACUGCUGAAUUUUGUUGGUUAAUUUGCUGUGCAACUCCAUUUCAAGUAUCAGACUGUGUGCAUUGUUCUCAUAAAAAAUACAAAGUUAAAAAAGCAGUACACCAAAUAUAAUGACUUAAACCCAAGUGAUUGUACACCAUACCAUACAAAUAAGAUUUUGUUAUUAAUUUGAUGACAGCACUGCAACAUUCUGCACAUUGAAGCCAACUAGUGAACCACUUGUGUUAGAUUACAUGUUGUUUUGUGUUUAAAUGCAUGUUUAUUAAAAGCAUACAGUAGCAUGCUCUUACUCAAAACAGAAAAAAUAUCCAAAAAUAUUUUCAAAAAUAUUUGAGUGCCUAAAAAAUUAAAAUACUUGGUAACUAAUAAUUAAUGCUGUCACCUCGACCAAAUCCCUACCUACAUAGCUUUCUUACUAGGCAUACUGUUUUGGUUUCAUUAAACAGUACUAGACAGCAGCUUCCAAAAUACGUAAAUUGAAACCAGCAAUGCUGUCUUCUUCUGGGCCUACUGGAGGAGGGUUUUAUUAGCUGAGAGCCUGGAGGUGCAAGUUCUCAAGUUUUCUUUGUUUAGCUCAGGGUCUCAGAAAAUUUUGGUUUCGGACCUCUUGCUUUGUUGGUUGCUUUAUUCCCAGGAGAACACCACUGUCGGGGGAGGGGGGGGAGGCAGGGGGGAGUUAGAAAUUGCUAGUAAAAGUCCCUUGGAGGAAAGAGAAAGACCUAAUGGUGAGGCAGGGAGAAGAAGAGUAGUCAUCGACAAGGUUUGUUCGCAUUGACCUGCUGCUGCUUUUAAACAAAAAUGCAGUUUCCAUGCAGGUUUAUCUUUUCUCUAUCCCACUAGUUUUUGCAUUCAUUGCAUAGAUCAUAGCAGGUGGAUAGAUCAUUCAGGUUAAUUAUCCUGCAACUUGUCUCACUGUCAUUUCUUUCCACUGGCUGUGAUCUAUAGCCACUUCUAUUUUCUUUUCCAAUUACCUGGGGUGUGUUUUCCUUUCCAAGUUGGAGCAUUCUCUCUCCAACCACUGGCAGGAGCAGUGGCUGUAAGCAGAUCACAGUUUCUAUUACAAGAGGCUGCUUACUUCCUGAGGUGCUUUGUCUCCACAUCACCAUCUCCCAGUCAUGUCUGGACCUUUCAUACUGUUUUAGAGGUACGUAUAUAGAUUUUUUUUUUUUUUUUUUUUUAUUUUUGGUGGGGGAAAUAUGCUUUAUUCAGCUUCAGAAAGCAACAACGCACUGCUUUCUCACACCUCCUCAAAUCUCAAACAGCAUACCAUUAGUACAAGCAUUAAUUUCCCAGUUGACCAUCCCAAU